AGCGGACGGGCGCGCUCUGUGCCGCAGGCGGACGUGGCGUUCAAGCAGAAGCAGAAGGAGGAGCAGAAGAAGCUGGAAGAGAUGAAGGCGAAGGCUGCGUCCAAAGGCCCCCUGGGUACUGGCGGAAUAAAGAAGUCUGGCAAAAAGUAGUUAAGAGACUGGUCAGCCUGCAGAAGCAACCUGGUUCUGGUGGUGUAAUGGUGGUGGUGUAAUGCACUGAACCUGCAGUUAUAGGGAGUCAGAAAAUUCACAGCUUGAGCACCUUGUACAUCUUGUUCAGUCACAAUAAAUUUUUUUGUUAAGA